CCAGAAGUAGCUAGUCUAACCGCAAGGGGGACGGUUACCACGGAGUGAUUCAUGACUGGGGUGAAGUCGUAACAAGGUAGCCGUAGGGGAACCUGCGGCUGGAUCACCUCCUUAAU
rnacentral:rRNA from 1 species